rnacentral:sRNA from 1 species
UUCAAGGAAGAGGGAAGAAAGCAGUCACAGCACCACCCAUCCCACCACUGAGAAGAAGUCUAAAUAAGGCCAUAAAGAACUAGGGGAAGGCAAACUAUCAACAGUGAGAAUUCCUGUAGUAAUCUGUGACUGAGACCUACUUACAUAGGAUAAUGUUCAACUAAGUGAAGAUAUCAUUAAAGAAAAAAAUCAUGAUGCAUUAAAAGACAAAGCAAAAGGCAGACUUCACUUGAUGUUGGACUGUGGAUCUCUGCAUCUGCCUCCAUCUGCUUUUGGAGGAAGCUUCUUCGGAAAGAGUCAUGCUAGAUUCCUGUUUUCAGGUAGACCACAGUAUUAUUAAUAGUGUCAAAGUUUGGGCCUCUCAAAUGGACUGAGUCUCAAGUUGGGACAUCAAUGACUGGUUACUAAAACAUAAACAUUUUGUACAUACACUUCUUUUAAAGAAAGAUUCUUUCUCCAGAAGUGCCCUGAAGGAAAGCUGGUAUACAGACUAGCAUGUAUCUUAAUAAUAACACAAAGAACAGUCCAAGAUGACAUGAAAUGCAGAGGCAAUAUCCAUCUAAUUUAGAUUUUAUUGUUCUUCAUCCAGUGUUUUUUUUUACAAGCUCCCUUAUAGCGCACAUGUAUAAAAAGAACAAAUUUCAAAAUUCAUUGGUCUUAUGAAGCAAAGAAUGGACUGAUCUAACUCAAAAUAAUUAGGAGGUAUCAGUUCAGUGAUGCUGAAAUUUGAAUUUCUUAAAAAGUAGCAAAAUAUCAUGCCAUAAGAGACAAUAAGAAAGGAGGAAGGACAAUGAAACUAUUUGACUUCAAAAUUUUACCCUAGUCAUUCCUCUAGAAAAGAUAAACUGAAAAUUCUACAUUUUGCAGUUCCAAAAAUGGUUUCA